UACGAAGGGGGCUAGCGUUGCUCGGAAUCACUGGGCGUAAAGCGCACGUAGGCGGAUUGUUAAGUCAGGGGUGAAAUCCUGGAGCUCAACUCCAGAACUGCCUUUGAUACUGAGGAUCUUGAGUUCGGGAGAGGUGAGUGGAACUGCGAGUGUAGAGGUGAAAUUCGUAGAUAUUCGCAAGAACACCAGUGGCGAAGGCGGCUCACUGGCCCGAUACUGACGCUGAGGCGCGAAGGCGUGGGGAGCGAACGGG
rnacentral:rRNA from 1 species